AUAUAAAUCACUGUCAUCCUUCGGACGGAGAUGACUAUAAUCUUAUAAAAUUAAAGCAGAACAGGGAAAUGCAUAUACUUAAAAAAAGGCACAGAAGAUUUUAUUGUUAGUACAAAACCUAUACUGUUGAUAAUCCCUCUUUACUGAGCUAUAUUUUUUUAAAGCUCAGAACAAAAUAAAAUCUAUGCACAACAGAAAGAAGUAAGUACGAAGGAGACAUCAUCCAUUCCUUUAGCAAAGAAAGAAACAAUUCCACGUUGGGAAGUUUAAAGUUGUCUAAGAAUUAUAGAAAU